rnacentral:rRNA from 1 species
GACGAACCGAGCGAACGUUGUUCGGAAUCACUGGGCUUAAAGGGCGCGUAGGCGGGCGGGAAAGUCAGGGGUGAAAGCCGGCAGCUCAACUGUCGAAGUGCCUCUGAUACUCUCCGCCUCGAGGGAGGUAGGGGCGUGCGGAACUUCCGGUGGAGCGGUGAAAUGCGUAGAUAUCGGAAGGAACACCAGUGGCGAAGGCGGCUCACUGGACUGGUACUGACGCUGAGGCACGAAAGCGUGGGGAGCGAACAGG